GGGCACAUGGUGUAGUUGGUUAUCACGCUCGCUUAGCAUAUAUGAGCCUGUGUGCGAGAGGUGUUGGGUUCAAUUCCCAAUGUGUCCA